GUUAGUGGUGUAAUGGUAGCAUACCAGGUUCAGGGCCUGAGGGAGAGGGUUCGAUUUCCUUCGAGAAACA